rnacentral:rRNA from 1 species
GACGAACGCUGGCGGCGUGCCUAAUACAUGCAAGUCGAGCGGAUGACGGAGGAGCUUGCUCCUCCUGAUUCAGCGGCGGACGGGUGAGUAACACGUGGGCAACCUGCCCUGUAGAUUGGGAUAACUCCGGGAAACCGGGGCUAAUACCGAAUAAUCCUUCGGACCUCAUGGUCCGAUGUUGAAAGACGGCAUCUCGCUGUCACUACAGGAUGGGCCCGCGGCGCAUUAGCUAGUUGGUGAGGUAACGGCUCACCAAGGCCACGAUGCGUAGCCGACCUGAGAGGGUGAUCGGCCACACUGGGACUGAGACACGGCCCAGACUCCUACGGGAGGCAGCAGUAGGGAAUCUUCCACAAUGGACGAAAGUCUGAUGGAGCAACGCCGCGUGAGUGAAGAAGGUUCUCGGAUCGUAAAACUCUGUUGUGAGGGAAGAACAAGUACCGGAGUAACUGCCGGUGCCUUGACGGUACCUCAUUAGAAAGCCACGGCUAACUACGUGCCAGCAGCCGCCGUAAGAC